AGUCAUUCUUUGUAUAUAAGCUAAGCAUACUUGGGCUUGUUGUAAUACAUAUACAGGUUAACCAUAUAAAUUUCAUUUGUGAAUGCCUAGCAUUUAGGAAGUGUUGCUUUUUUCAUUCAUAACACAGACGUAUGCAUCUACUGAGAGCAUAGGACAAAACGUCUUCAGAGUGAUGCGAAGGUUCUUUGUUUGAAAUGAAGCUCUGCUAAAGCAACUGCAGAGAACAUCAGUUCUCCAAGGACUACAUGUGUCUGACAAUGUUAAAGGAGGGAAUAUCCAGACCCUACAGGGACCUCAUUGUUUUAAGUUCACUUCUGUGGGAAAGCCAGUGUCAGAAGAAUAUAAACUCAAGGCUGAUAAAAAUUCGUAGGUGUAACUGUCAGAAGACUGCAGUGUGGCAGAAGAGAACGGUGGAAACCACAGGCUGA
rnacentral:lncRNA from 1 species